AUGCAGAAAACAAAGGGAGUGUUCAAAAUUUUCCGGAACCAGGAAGGCGAGAAGUCAUUCAGCGGUUUGUGGGGAGUGUCACAAGAAUGUAUAAAAUUAGUACACAGAGACAUUUGCUACACAGAUCUGACUGGCCAAACAUAUGAGAAAAAACAUCUUUACAGCUGGCAGGGAAGACAAACUGUGGGUCGUUCGCACCAGUGACUCACAGUGAUUGAAGCUCCCGGUUGAAUGUAUGUUCUCGGUGGGAAGAGGAAGCAGCUGACAGGUUGUCCCUUAAUGCUCUGCUGCAGGUAAUACCCGCUGAUGUCCUGCUCUAUCUGGGAGCAGUUCCCAAGCCUCACAAAAUGGCCCUGAGCCUGGACCUCCAUAAUCUUCACAUGACCCGUCAUACUGCAGAAAAUGUAAUACAUCAUAUUAUACUGUAUAUAUAUUCUCGCAAGGGACUUUAAAAAAGUUCUCUUUAGGCUUGUCCAUCAUUGCCACUAUGCAGAGUGUGCAAACAUACACACGUAUACUCAUUCAAAAUGCAGGUCUGUGCAGUCUGUGUAUAGCAUAUCGAUCAGCAUAAAUCUAAGAUAUAUCAAAUAAUUGGCAUACCGGUAGAUUAACUAUGAAAAACUUCUCUAAAGAAUAACUCUAGUGGAUUGAAACUUGUGAAACAAUGUGUAAGAAAGUGUGAUUAUGCCCCUCUUUAGCUAAGGGUGAUAUGAGGUUACAAUGCAGAAAUGUCAGGUCAGUAGAUUUUGAAUUUGAUUGCUUAUACUCCUUUUGUUGUAAGUUUAGAGGACUGUUAACAUGAGCCCAACCAUAAUUGUACAGUUAAGCUGACCCUAACCAAGACUCUGCCCGGAGCCUUGCCUGGAGUAUUCACGGAUAUGUUGUUUGGCAGUCGCUGGCCUCCUUGUCUUCUCACUCAUGACGGGAGAACUCCUCUCAUUGUGCUUGUUGUAAAAAAUGUCCCAGAUAUCUAUGAUGGAGGUUUCCCUCAUGGUAAUGCUAGGGGCUGUCAGUGCCAGUAUUCUGGAAUGACCUGCAAGGGAGAAGGCAUGCAAGAGCAAAGCAAUUCAGGAUCAUAAACAUGAAGACUGAGCUAAAAUAUAGUAUUACGUAAACUAAGAUAACUAUAAUUUUGAAGAAAACUCAGAUUUCUCAGAUUACUCUAACAUAAUAUUAUGAAAGAAGUGCUUUUAAUAUACAGGCAUACUUCUUGCAUGGGUGUCUGGGGGUGGUCUCCUCAUAUGACCCAAGCUAGAAAGACAGAACCAGGUCAGAUGUUUGUCUUUAGUUAGUCUGCUUAUCCAGUUUUCCAGAAUAAAUACUACAUUUCAAGGUAAUAAUAUAAGACA
rnacentral:lncRNA from 1 species